UACGAAGGGUGCAAGCGUUAAUCGGAAUUACUGGGCGUAAAGCGUGCGUAGGCGGUUGGCUAAGUCAGAUGUGAAAGCCCUGGGCUCAACCUGGGAAUGGCAUUUGAAACUGGCCGGCUAGAGUGUGAUAGAGGAUGGCGGAAUUCCCGGUGUAGCGGUGAAAUGCGUAGAGAUCGGGAGGAACAUCCGUGGCGAAGGCGGCCAUCUGGAUCAACACUGACGCUGAGGCACGAAAGCUAGGGGAGCAAACGGG
rnacentral:rRNA from 1 species